GAUGAACGCUGGCGGCGUGCCUAAGACAUGCAAGUCGAGUGGGUUUAGACCCACGGCGAACGGGUGAGUAGAACCUAGGAACUUUCUUUUAGUUGUAGCAUAUCCUCCCGAAACGGGAGAGUAAUACUCGAUGUGGCCGCAAGGCUAAAGUCGCAAGACGCUAAAAGUGAGGCCUGGGACCCAUCAGCUAGUUGGUAGGGUAAUGGCCUACCAAGGCGAUGACGGGUAGCGGAAGCGAGAGCUUGAUCCGCCACACUGGGACUGCGACACGGCCCAGACUCCUACGGGAGGCAGCAGUUUGGAAUUUUGGACAAUGGACGAAAGUCUGAUCCAGCGACGCCGCGUGCACGACGAAGGCC
rnacentral:rRNA from 1 species